rnacentral:rRNA from 1 species
UGGGCGAAGCCUGAUCCAGCCAUGCCGCGUGUGUGAAGAAGGCUUUCGGGUUGUAAAGCACUUUCAGUGAGGAAGAAGGCCUUGGGGCUAAUACCCCCGAGGAAGGACAUCACUCACAGAAGAAGCACCGGCUAACUCCGUGCCAGCAGCCGCGGUAAUACGGAGGGUGCGAGCGUUAAUCGGAAUUACUGGGCGUAAAGCGCGCGUAGGCGGCGUGAUAAGCCGGUUGUGAAAGCCCCGGGCUCAACCUGGGAACGGCAUCCGGAACUGUCAGGCUAGAGUGCAGGAGAGGAAGGUAGAAUUCCCGGUGUAGCGGUGAAAUGCGUAGAGAUCGGGAGGAAUACCAGUGGCGAAGGCGGCCUUCUGGACUGACACUGACGCUGAGGUGCGAAAGCGUGGGUAGCAAACAGGAUUAGAUACCCUGGUAGUCCACGCCGUAAACGAUGUCGACUAGCCGUUGGGGUCCUUGAGACCUUUGUGGCGCAGUUAACGCGAUAAGUCGACCGCCUGGGGAGUACGGCCGCAAGGUUAAAACUCAAAUGAAUUGACGGGGGCCCGCACAAGCGGUGGAGCAUGUGGUUUAAUUCGAUGCAACGCGAAGAACCUUACCUACCCUUGACAUCGUGCGAACUUUCCAGAGAUGGAUUGGUGCCUUCGGGAACGCACAGACAGGUGCUGCAUGGCUGUCGUCAGCUCGUGUUGUGAAAUGUUGGGUUAAGUCCCGUAACGAGCGCAACCCUUGUCCCUAUUUGCCAGCGAUUCGGUCGGGAACUCUAGGGAGACUGCCGGUGACAAACCGGAGGAAGGUGGGGACGACGUCAAGUCAUCAUGGCCCUUA